UUGUAAGGAGCAUUAGUGUGCUGAGGGUUACACCCUGAAGAAGGCUUUUGUGCUGAAAUUUGUGGGCUGUAACCCACUUUCAUCAUGUUUUAACCUUUUCUAUAUGAAACAGCCAUUUUUUAAACAAAGGCUUUCUAUACAUUUAAAGACGAGUGCCUUGGAUUUCCCUUUUUUGAUAUCCACUCACAGUGCCAAAGAACUUCACUGGCCUGCACAGAGCCCUGAUCUCAACCCUAUCCAACACCUUUGGGAUGAGCUGGAACAUCGACUACAAGCCUGGUCUCAUAUCAGUGCCUGACCUCACUAAUGCUCUUGUGGCUCAGUGGCAGAAAAUCCCUGCUGCCAGGGAUAAAGAAAGCAAUGGGAGGAGAGGGUGAAGAGGUUGACACUGCACUCAUCCUCCUCCUCUGGGGUCCAGAGCAGCACAUCAUUUAUCAUCAGCUGGCAGGAUGUUUCUCAGAGAAAACAUCCACCGUGGAGAAUGCAUUCAUCUGCCUGCGUCUGAUAAUGAAACCGAAAUCUGACUGUGCAGCUGAUCAAAGCUGAACCUUAGCUGUACUGUGCAUCAACAUCCCGUGGUCCGUCCUCUCUGAUCAUGUUCAUUAAUUUUAAUAAAAACAAUUUUAAAAUAA